AACGAACGCUGGCGGCAGGCCUAACACAUGCAAGUCGAGCGAGGACUUCGGGUCUAGCGGCGGACGGGGGAGUACCGCGUGGGAAUUUGCCCUUCUCUACGGAAUAGCCCUGGGAAACUGAGAGUAAUACCGUAUACGCCCUAUUGGGGAAAGAUUUAUCGGGGAAGGAUCAGCCCUCGUUGGAUUCGGUAGUUGGGGGGGGAAUGGCCUACCAAGCGGACGAUCCAUAGCUGGUGGGGGAGGAGGAUCAGCUCCAAUGGGACUGCGACACGGACCAGAACCCGACGGGAGGCAGCAGAGGGGUAUCUUAGACGAGGGGGGCAACCGUGACCUAGCCACGCCGGGUGAGUGAUCAAUGCCGUAGGGUUGUAAAGCUCUCUCAGAUGGGAAGAUAAUGACGGUACCAGCAGAAGAAGCACCGGCUAACUACGUG
rnacentral:rRNA from 1 species